ACUACAAACAAGCCAGGACCACAGGACAGCAGGUUACCUUCCCGCUGCUGAACUGAUCCCAAUCGCACAACUGCUUCCAAACGGGAGAUGCAGCUUUAACUCGAGGGCAGCAGCAUUUCUCCAGUGAUUUCAUUUGCAUUUAUUGCCACAAUAUUCCCUGUUUGUGAGGAUCUGUUUUCUCCGUGCGCUGCAAUUCCCUCCCCAUCAGCUAUCAGACGUGGAGCCAUCCUCACCCACGUGGCAAACUGAGGCAGAAAUGCCGUGCCAAUCCCACAACUUCUGUAGGAAACAGAGGCAACCUUUGCUAGAGAAAGGGGUUAAUGUUCAGCUCUGUGCCUUGCAGGUACGGUCUCAAGUGAAGAGCCCCGUUUGAUACCUGUAGGAAGCUGCCAUUUUUGCAUCUCAUAUUCCAUUUGUGAACAGCCCUUUUUGUUCUUUAGUCCAAGUUCUGAAUUAUUUAAUCCUGUCUCCAACACUUGAAAUAUCUCUCCCUAUAAACAAGAGGUUAUUCAGAGAAAGGAAAUAAAUAAUUUAAAAAGUCAGACCCUAAAGUGUUCCUGGCUCUGUUUUUAAUUAAUAUUGAUACAAUCUUGAGAAACCUGCUGCUUAAUAUUACAAGGCAGGUCGAAGCUCAUCAACAGUUAAACGUCUCCUUUUAACAGAAAGUGGAAGAGGAAGUUGGGAGCUGCCGGGUGCCAGCGCUCCGGGACUGCCCAGUCCCAGCUCCUCACAACUUUCUCAUGCACGAAAACGAGAGUUUCAAAGCCAUGAGACCCUGAGCUCCAUGAGCUGCAGCUUACAGGGCUCAGGUGGAACCGUGUUAAGCAUAAAUCCUUCAGGCUUUUGUCCCGGGAUAGAGUAGCAGAAACAACAGACCACUCUGCAGACAGACUGUGUGCAAAGUUAAUAAACUCUGUGCUGCACAGAUUGCCUGGUGAACCUGCCAACAGGUGAACAGCCUCAAUCCGCAACGGGUAUAAAUAAUCACCAGUCCUCAAAAGCAGGUAUUCUGGGUCACUAUUAAGAACCCUUUCAAGUUAGCAAAGUUCAGCCAAGUCUACCUUAAUCCCAAACCUUUAAAAGAAACAAUAAAACACGGAAAGGGGGGGUAGAAGACGA